CCUACGGGAGGCAGCAGUAGGGAAUAUUGCUCAAUGGGGGAAACCCUGAAGCAGCAACGCCGCGUGGAGGAUGAAGGUUUUCGGAUUGUAAACUCCUUUUGUUAGAGAAGAUAAUGACGGUAUCUAACGAAUAAGCACCGUCUAACUCCGUGCCAGCAGCCGCGGUAAUACGGAGGGUGCAAGCGUUACUCGGAAUCACUGGGCGUAAAGAGCGCGUAGGCGGGAUAGCAAGUCAGAUGUGAAAUCCUAUGGCUUAACCAUAGAACUGCAUUUGAAACUGUUAUUCUAGAGUAUGGGAGAGGUAGGUGGAAUACUUGGUGUAGGGGUAAAAUACGUAGAGAUCAAGAGGAAUACUCAGAGCGAAGGCGACGUGCUAGAACAUAACUGACGCUGAUGCGCGAAAGCGUGGGGAGCAAACAGGAUUAGAUACCCGUGUAGUUC
rnacentral:rRNA from 1 species